UACAGAGGUCUCGAGCGUUGUUCGGAUUCAUUGGGCGUAAAGGGUGCGUAGGUGGCGCUGUAAGUCGGGUGUGAAAUCCUGAGGCUUAACCUCGGAACUGCAUUCGAUACUGCGGCGCUUGAGGACUGGAGAGGAGACUGGAAUUCAUGGUGUAGCAGUGAAAUGCGUAGAGAUCAUGAGGAAGACCAGUGGCGAAGGCGGGUCUCUGGACAGUUCCUGACACUGAGGCACGAAGGCCAGGGGAGCAAACGGG
rnacentral:rRNA from 2 species